UACGUAGGGUGCGAGCGUUGCCCGGAUUUAUUGGGCGUAAAGGGCGCGUAGGCGGCCACGCACGUCCGUUGUGAAAUCGCCCGGCUCAACUGGGCGGGGUCAGCGGAUACGGUGUGGCUAGAGCAAGCUAGGGGGCAAUGGAAUUCCCGGUGUAGUGGUGGAAUGCGUAGAUAUCGGGAGGAACACCAGUGGCGAAGGCGGUUGCCUGGAGCUUUGCUGACGCUGAUGCGCGAAAGCGUGGGGAGCAAACAGG
rnacentral:rRNA from 1 species